CCUGAACGCUGGCGGCGUGACUAAGACAUGCAAGUCGCACGGGGUAGCAAUACCCAGUGGCGAACGGGAGAGUAAUGAAUCGCUAACGUACCCCGGACUCUGGGAUAGCCAACCGAAAGGUUGGGUAAUACCAGAUAAUACGACCUUGUCGCAUGGCAGGGUUUUCAAAGGUCCGCCGUCUGGAGCGGCGAUUUCGUAUCAGCUAGUUGGUGGGGUAACGGCUCACCAAGGCGACGACGCGAGCCGGACUGAGAGGUUGGCCGGCCUCAUUGGGACUGAGACACUGCCCAGACUCCUACGGGGGCUGCAGUAACGAAUCUUCCGCAAUGCACGAAAGUGUGACGGAGCGACGCCGCGUGUGGGACGAAGCCCUUCGGGUGU
rnacentral:rRNA from 1 species